rnacentral:rRNA from 1 species
GACGAACCGCCCGAACGUUAUUCGGAAUCACUGGGCUUAAAGGGAGCGUAGGCGGGCUGCCAAGUCCGGGGUGAAAUCCUCCAGCUUAACUGGAGAACUGCCUCGGAUACUGGAAGUCUCGAGGAGGGUAGGGGCACGCGGAACUGUGGGUGGAGCGGUGAAAUGCGUUGAUAUCCAUAGGAACUCCGGUGGCGAAGGCGGCGUGCUGGACCCUUUCUGACGCUGAGGCUCGAAAGCCAGGGGAGCAAACGGG